GUCCACGCCGUAAACGAUGGGUGCUAGGUGUGGGGGGUGUCGACUCCCCCCGUGCCGAAGCUAACGCAUUAAGCACCCCGCCUGGGGAGUACGGCCGCAAGGCUAAAACUCAAAGGAAUUGACGGGGGCCCGCACAAGCAGCGGAGCAUGUGGUUUAAUUCGACGCAACGCGAAGAACCUUACCAAGGCUUGACAUGGUCGGGAAAGCCGUAGAAAUACGGCCCUCCUUCGGGACUCGAUCACAGGUGGUGCAUGGCUGUCGU
rnacentral:rRNA from 1 species